rnacentral:rRNA from 1 species
UACGUAGGUGGCAAGCGUUGUCCGGAUUUAUUGGGCGUAAAGCGAGCGCAGGCGGUUUUUUAAGUCUGAUGUGAAAGCCUUCGGCUCAACCGAAGAAGUGCAUCGGAAACUGGGAAACUUGAGUGCAGAAGAGGACAGUGGAACUCCAUGUGUAGCGGUGAAAUGCGUAGAUAUAUGGAAGAACACCAGUGGCGAAGGCGACUUUCUGGACUGUAACUGACACUGAGGCUCGAAAGCGUGGGGAGCAAACAGG